AAUAGAUACCCCGGUAGUCCACGCCGUAAACGAUGAGUGCUAAGUGUUAGGGGGUUUCCGCCCCUUAGUGCUGCAGCUAACGCAUUAAGCACUCCGCCUGGGGAGUACGGUCGCAAGACUGAAACUCAAAGGAAUUGACGGGGGCCCGCACAAGCGGUGGAGCAUGUGGUUUAAUUCGAAGCAACGCGAAGAACCUUACCAGGUCUUGACAUCCCGUUGACCGCUAUGGAGACAUAGCCUUCCCUUCGGGGACAGCGGUGACAGGUGGUGCAUGGUUGUCGUCAGCUCGUGUCGUGAGAUGUUGGGUUAAGUCCCGCAACGAGCGCAACCCUUGAUCUUAGUUGCCAUCAUUUAGUUGGGCACUCUAAGGUGACUGCCGGUGACAAACCGGAGGAAGGUGGGGAUGACGUCAAAUCAUCAUGCCCCUUAUGACCUGGGCUACACACGUGCUACAAUGGACGGUACAAACGGUUGCCAACCCGCGAGGGGGAGCUAAUCCGAUAAAACCGUUCUCAGUUCGGAUUGUAGGCUGCAACUCGCCUAC
rnacentral:rRNA from 1 species